GAUGAACGCUGGCGGCGUGCCUAAUACAUGCAAGUCGAGCGAACAGAUAAGGAGCUUGCUCCUUUGACGUUAGCGGCGGACGGGUGAGUAACACGUGGGUAACCUACCUAUAAGACUGGAAUAACUCCGGGAAACCGGGGCUAAUGCCGGAUAACAUUUAGAACCGCAUGGUUCUAAAGUGAAAGAUGGUUUUACUAUCACUUAUAGAUGGACCCGCGCCGUAUUAGCUAGUUGGUAAGGUAACGGCUUACCAAGGCAACGAUACGUAGCCGACCUGAGAGGGUGAUCGGCCACACUGGAACUGAGACACGGUCCAGACUCCUACGGGAGGCAGCAGUAGGGAAUCUUCCGCAAUGGGCGAAAGCCUGACGGAGCAACGCCGCGUGAGUGAUGAAGGUCUUCGGAUCGUAAAACUCUGUUAUUAGGGAAGAACAAAUGUGUAAGUAACUGUGCACGUCCUGACGGUACCUAAUCAGAAAGCCACGGCUAACUACGUG
rnacentral:rRNA from 1 species